rnacentral:lncRNA from 1 species
GUGACGGGGAAGGCAAACCACGUCAGGCAGCCAUAGCACGAGGCUAGCCAGAUUGAGUCCCUGGCGAGCUCUUGUGGAUAGAACUUCUCCUCUAGGGGACUGUCAGCAUACUCAGCGAAGCGUCGGCUCCACAUGCACGCCUUUGGCAUCUCAACACUCUGCUAUCUACAAACGAGGCACUUUCCUCCCUCUCCCAGAGUAAUGGAGUGCUCUGCUCCAGAAACAAAAACCAAGUAAAUGCUUCCACAUGCUUCCAUCCUCUUUCUUGCACUUGUUAAAGCUCUCAUCUGGGAUGCCAGUCUGACUCUAGGCCACAGGAAUAGCUGGGCCAUGAACCACACCAGAAGUGCGUCAGCACUGACACGCAUUGUCAGGAACACCGGUGACCCGAGGCUGCCCACGCAGACACAGGACCAUUUUGACGACGACUGAUAGAAGAAGCAAAGGCAAGAUCAUUGAAGUGCCUGGACAGCACGCACCGUUAGUGGCUGGAUCCUCUCGCCUCCCAUCUUGUGAAACCACCGUUACAUAACUCGCUCAGAGUCAGCAUUCAUAACAGAACAGGAAGCUCACAGUGGUGACAUGAGGCUGUAAGAAGAGAGGUGUUGAUCUACCCGUGUGAUUGACAACAGAGGGAUAAGAACAGUACUCUGCAGGUGGCGCCCUCUCUUCCAGCUGAUUUCAGCAGGAGAAGCAGCAGUGACAGCAAGCUGGCCUGUCUGGCCUCUGUAAUCGUGCAUCACAGGAACUGAGAGAAAUUUGUGAGCAAGGGUGGCUUUCUGUUGUAUCAUGUUACUAUAAUUCUGAAAUCCGAGAAAGAUAUUUUGCAAGGAAAAACAUUCUUAUUUUCUGGGACCCUCUUCUCGGUUCACCAUCCAAAAAAUAGACUAAAUCUAGUAACAGAUUGAAGUUUUAUGAUGUCAUUCGUGAUUUACAGAAAUUUAUAAGAGAUUUAGUACAGAGUUCCCAUAUACCCCUUUACCCAGU